AAUAGUCGCCCAUUAACAAGGGUUUAGAAAUAUGGGCGAAAUCAUGUGUCCCAUUUAAGUGGCCAAUACUCGGCCAGUAGAAUAUAAGCCAAGGAGGGUGAAAUAACGGAUCCCAUCAAGGUGCCCAAUACUGGCACGUUACAAACCGAAGCACCUAACAUAUGCCUUGCCACCCAUAGCCCACAAACAGUCUAAUUCUAAAAAGUACACAAUAUCAAUAACAACUUAGGAUUCAAAUCCCUCAACCCAAACUUAGGCCUACAUUUCAAAAUGCCACUACAUUUGCGGAUUGAAAGAGCGCAGUCUGGCACAAGAUAGUGGAACCACUGCAAAUUGAACAUACUGGCCCAUUG